UACGUAGGGGGCUAGCGUUGUCCGGAAUCAUUGGGCGUAAAGCGCGUGUAGGCGGUUCGGUAAGUCCGCUGUGAAAGUCGGGGGCUCAACCCUCGAAUGCCGGUGGAUACUGUCGGACUAGAGUACGGAAGAGGCGAGUGGAACUCCUGGUGUAGCGGUGGAAUGCGCAGAUAUCAGGAAGAACACCAACGGCGAAGGCAGCUCGCUGGGACGGUACUGACGCUGAGACGCGAAAGCGUGGGGAGCGAACAGG
rnacentral:rRNA from 1 species